CGAAACUAUCCCGAACUUUGGUAAUCCUGUACCAAAAAAUACCGAAACAUUUGGUAUGGGAUUGGUUUCCAGAUUUCAUUUCUUCGGGAUUCCCGAAGUCCCGAAAUCUUCUUUUGCUUUUGGUUCCUACUUUCCAGUGCUACUAUCUGCAAAGAACAAUGAAAAAAUAAAAUAAAAAGCAGAGCCUUUCGGUUCCACUAGCAAAAGCACAAAAAUAAAAUAAUAUGGAAAAGGCAUGUGAUGGUGAAGCGUUGUCGAUUUGGGAGAAAAGCACAAAAGCUUUUUUGGAAACUAAAAGCACAAAGCUUUUGUUUUGGUUUUGAAACUUGAUUCUUGAGGCAGUGAGAGAAAAGCAGUCUUCGUGUUGGGAAAGCAGAGAUAGGAAUAAGCUCUCUCGUCUCUAGCCUCGACCCAUUUCUCCCUCUAUCCU
rnacentral:lncRNA from 1 species